CCCCCCCACACACACACCCAUCCCAACAGAGAAGAGUCUCGCCCUUUGGAAGCUGGAUGAAUUAUUGUGGAGUUGGGAACAAGUGCGAGAAGAAAGCUGAGGCUCCACGUCCGCCUCGUCGCUUCGUCGCGGGAAGACAAGACUCCGCGACAGUUGUGCGCGACCAUGGAGAGGAGGUCCCUGUGUGUUCCGAUUGUCAUUUUACUCAUGCAAUGUGUUCCCUCACUUCCAGUCACCGUGUCGACCAACAAACAAAAGGUGGAGGUGCGUGAGUUUGCAGAUGCAGUGCUGUCCUGCAUUUUCCGCACUGAGAGGGACCAGAAUCCACGCAUUGAGUGGAAGAAGAAGGGCAAAGAUGUGUCUUUUGUUUACUUUGAUGGACACUUUCGAGGUCCAUUUGAGGGGCGGGCAAGUAUCGAUGGGGCCACAGUGACGUUGCAUAAGGUGACCCAGGAGGAUGCCGGAGAGUACCGCUGCGAGAUCAGCGCUCCUUUCGAUUCUGUCAAUUUGGGCGAGACCAACGUCACACUCAGAGUCUUAGUUCCUCCCAAUACACCGGCCUGCGAAAUCCCGAGUGCGGCAGUGACGGGCUCUUCUGUGCAGCUGCGCUGUAGGGACCACCAAAGCAUCCCCCCCGCUACAUACGCCUGGUACAAGAACGACCAGCUAAUGAUCCCCCCACGCCAUGCCAACGCCACCUACCUUAUCAACACAAUAACUGGAUUACUAGAGUUCAAAGCUGUGGCUAAAGAGGACAGUGGGCGUUACAGCUGCCGGGCUUCCAACGGGGUGGGGAAGCCCACGAUGUGUGAGGGCAGGCACAUGACGAUAGAGGAUGUCAACGUCACAAGUGUGGUGGUGGCAGUAGUUGUAAUUUGCCUAUUGGUGGUGGUCUGCGGAUGUGGGGGGUUCCUAAUGCACCGUAAUGGCUUCUUCACCCCAGGACACAGAGGAAGGUCAUUUUGGAUCUCCGAGUGUCAUGGUGCCGCUCACAUCAGCAGCCAAAACCUGAACAGAACUGAGGACACGUCCAAUGUGAACUAUAUCCCCCCACCCCAAGAAGACCUGGUUGCGUGAAGCCCGUGACAACUGAGCUCCUAGGAUCAUGGGAACACACAAACCCGUCCACCACAAUAAGUGAAUUUGCAUGGCUCAGCUGCACCCAACUGGGUCAUUCAUUCCAAACCCAGAAAUGGACUUCCACAGCAGGAAAUGGACAACCAGCAGAGUGUAGAAGAACAUUUAUACAAAGUCAUCUGUCACGAAAUGGGCCUUAACACAGCACAAUUCUGGUUCCAAAAUGCUUGGGAAUUUCUUCAAAAAUGAACAAACUAUUAACUCCUAAACUCAUCUGAGUUUGACAGGGGACGUAAAACGUAGGUAACCCAUGUCACAAAAAUGGCAAUUUCAAAGGCUGUUGUUUGCAAACAACAUGUAAUGGCUAUUGCACUCACUCGACACACUGGAUAGGUGUCAAACAAACUCAAAUAAGGUCACAGACUCAUUUUGACAUGUUAUGCAUAAAAUAAAUGGAAAACAUAUUUUCAUGGUAGGGUGACCUUUAAACUUGUACUUUUUAGGAAUAAAAGCCCUGCCUCUUUUUGGAUGAACUCUUGGCACUACUAUGCUGCUAUAUACAUACAUCCAUUUCCUUGGCCGCUUAUACUCACAUGGGUCGUGGGGAAUGCUGGAGCCUAUCCCACCUGUCAACGGGCAGGAGGCAGGGUACAUCCUGAACUGGUGGGCAGCCAAUCGCAGGGCACAUAGAGACAAACAGCCGCACUCACAAUCACACCAAGGGGCAAUUUAGAGUGUCCAAUUAAUGUUGCAUGUUUUUGGAAUGUGGGAGGAAACCGGAGUGCCCAGAGAAAACCCACACAAGGGGGGGGCGGGAUUGAACCCCGGAUAUUAUGGUGGUGCUUGGGGUGCCAAAUAUUUCUGGGAGGCUGUACUUAGUGUAAAAAGUCUGAGAACUUGAGAAGGAUAAUCACCCCAGAUAAUCUUUCGGAAACAUAAUGUCUCUUUUUUUCUUCUUUUUCUUUUUUCUUCUUUUCUUUAUUAAUCAGAGAAAUACUCAACCCAAAAGAUAAGGUAAUAGUGUUUAUUGCUGUUUUAUUCCGUGAAUGGAAGGUUUCUUUUUUUCUCCCCAAAUGGUGUUUGGAGUUUUUUUCCUGCUUGAUUGAGAAGAUUAGAUCAGUGGAUGUUGUCGAUCGUUGUCACCUGUGGGCCUGUGAAACCUUUUGAGACACUUUUGCGAUAAAUGGUGAGACAAAUAAAAUUGACUUGAAAAAGAGAUAUCAAUUUAAAAACAUUGCUCGUCACCAAGGGGUACUGACAAAUAUUUGAGCUAUUGUUCUGAAUUUCAAACCCCCUUUUCUGUCUCCUCCAGCCACAGGAUUUCAAACACACACAGUCAUUCAUGCUCUGAGAAGCUGGCCUUCCUUUUGACAAGACAUCAAUCACCCUGUUGACAAGGUGCCAAUACUGGAUUCUGGAUUCAUUCUCAGCCUUGCAGACUCUGAAUGACCUCUUGAUCUUCCAAUUAUAUGCUAAUUUUUGCAAUUAACUAUUGUCAGGAAGGGUGGGGGGCUGACAGGCCAAUUUCACACUUGCAAGGCUUUUAUACUGUUGCUUUGUUGUGUGGGUAGCCUGUUCAUUUCUGCUUAAUCAUAUGGACAGGCUACAAAUAAUGCAUUGUAUUUUGAUGUCGUUCUGCUUCCUUCUAGCGGCCAAUAUUGGAACAGAUUUUAUUUUUUUCUUUUUUACCUAAACUGGUCAAUUUGAGCUACCUGUUUUUGUUGACCAAAGACUGACUCCCGAAUGAAAUUCUAAUGCAUUGAAACAAUCCUCUUGUGAUGACGCAGCACUGCAGUAUCAAUCUUUUGAAAUGACAACAAAAAAGCCAUUUACCUCAGUAUUGCUCUGCUCUCCAUUCUGUAACACUGUGGCCUCAGAGUCCACUGCGUUAAUGGUUACAAGACAAAACCCAGCCCAGGAAAAUAAGUCACUCUUGCCAUUUAUGAAGACCAAUCCCACACCAUCCUAAUGUGCCUGCAUGGUCUUUUAUAUAUAUAUAUAUAUAUAUAUAUAUAUAUAUAUAUAUAUAUAUAUAUAUACAAUAUUAUACCUUGUGCCUUUUUUAUUUGUCUAUUUAUCAAUGGGUAGUUCUUUUUGUAAGAAAAAAAAAGAAAAGAAAAAGCCUUACUUUUUUCUCUUUAUAUUCUUUGUGCCACUGUUAAUCAAAAUGUGUGUCUGUUUAUAGACAGUAAAUGGAUUGUUCAGAGUUUUAUUUGAAUGUUGUG